UACGAAGGGUGCGAGCGUUAUUCGGAAUCACUGGGCGUAAAGGGUGCGUAGAUGGUGUGUUAAGUUUGUUGUUAAAGGCUCCGGCCUAACUGGAGUAUUGCGAUGAAAACUGGCACGCUAGAGGGUGAGAGAGAGAAGUGGAAUUCCCGGAGUAGCGGUAAAAUGCGUGGAUCUCGGGAGGAACACCAAUGGCGAAGGCAGCUUCUUGGCUCAUUCCUGACAUUGAGGCACGAAAGCGUGGGGAGCAAACAGG
rnacentral:rRNA from 1 species